CAGAGAGGAAGGUACUGGGUGCCCCACACUGCUAAUGAGCCCCUAAUGAUGGCACCUGGGGUGGGCAAUUAACCCUCCCCUCCCUGCCAGCCCCCAGCAGAGGCUUCUUGUCCUAAAGCCAAGAAUAUCUUAGUCCAGAAGCUUGGAGCUCCUCACAGCCUUGCAGCUCCUCACAGCCUGGAGAAGAAAGACAAAGAGCUGGACUGAACUGGAGUCAGCACACAACUCUGAUGACUCUUCAUACCUACAUAUUCUACAAAGUCACUCUAAAGAGAUGUGGCUGAACUCAACAAAGUCCUCAUAAUGGGACGAAGUGACACUGCAGCAGUGUGAAAUUCCAGAAGAGAAGCUUACAGGCUUCAAGGAGAAGCAAGAAGCAGCAGCUCCCUACCAGGCCAGCCAAGAGCCACAGGUAAUCCCCGUCCAGACAGUGCCCUUCUGGUCAGGGCACAGUCCCACAGCAUCUGAACAUGGCAGAGCCAUGCAGAGCCAAGCGCAGG
ensembl:lncRNA